UACGGGGGGGGCAAGCGUUGUUCGGAAUUACUGGGCGUAAAGGGCUCGUAGGCGGCCAACUAAGUCAGACGUGAAAUCCCUCGGCUUAACCGGGGAACUGCAUCUGAUACUGGAUGGCUUGAGUUCGGGAGAGGGAUGUGGAAUUCCAGGUGUAGCGGUGAAAUGCGUAGAUAUCUGGAGGAACACCGGUGGCGAAGGCGGCAUCCUGGACCGACACUGACGCUGAGGAGCGAAAGCCAGGGGGAGCAAACGGG
rnacentral:rRNA from 1 species